AGUAGUUUGAUCCGUGGCUCAGGACGAACGCUGGCGGCACGCUUAACACAUGCAAGUCGAACGGAGUUGCUUUGAGUUUACUUAGAGUAACUUAGUGGCGGACGGGUGAGUAACACGUGAGCAACCUGCCUUUGAGAGAGGGAUAGCUUCUGGAAACGGAUGGUAAUACCUCAUAACAUAGAGAUAGGGCAUCCUAUUUUUAUCAAAGAUUUAUCACUCAAAGAUGGGCUCGCGUCUGAUUAGAUAGUUGGUGAGGUAACGGCUCACCAAGUCGACGAUCAGUAGCCGGACUGAGAGGUUGAACGGCCACAUUGGGACUGAGACACGGCCCAGACUCC
rnacentral:rRNA from 1 species